rnacentral:piRNA from 1 species
UGGCCAACGUAGAAGAUAAGUGACCGUGU